GAUCAAAUGCGUUGUAGUUAAGAUUAUUCCAACUAAGAGUACAUCACAGAAGUUAAGAGCAGAUGGACCAGUUUUUAUGGAAAAGCACAGCUGUAUGGAGUAAUGAAGAAGAUCCUGAAGCCUCCACAUAUGCACGAUGAUGUGAAAAAUGCCAUCGCCAUGUUUAGAGCUCUGCAAUCCAUGUUUCCUUCACUUUCUCUACCCCCAAAAAAGCUGGGAAACAAAACAUGAGGCAUUAGUUCAUGGCCUUAAGACCUCCGAGAAUCCUGAUGCCUUUCUACAGCAAAGACUGACCACUGACUAGCGCUGCCCUUAUUGUGGACCAAGAUAACUUCAUGCUAGCUAUUGGAAGUGACCAUUUGACAACUUUCCCUCAAGAAAUGUUGCAGGAAGGUAUCAUGUACCUUAUGGCAUACUAUUAUGCACUACAUCUAACAUAUCCUAAGUGCAUUGCCGCUGUCCUCUCUGCAAUUCAAACUGAAACAUUACAGGACACAAUUUGAAGGGAAAAUGCAAAUAUGCUAGAAGG